rnacentral:rRNA from 1 species
GACAGAGGGUGCAAACGUUGUUCGGAAUCACUGGGCGUAAAGCGUGUGUAGGCGGCUUCUCAAGUCGGGUGUGAAAUUCCAGGGCUCAACCCCUGGAAGUGCAUUCGAAACUGGGUAGCUAGAGUACUGGAGAGGAAGGUGGAAUGCUUGGUGUAGAGGUGAAAUUCGUAGAUAUCAAGCGGAACACCGGUGGCGAAGGCGGCCUUCUGGACAGAUACUGACGCUGAGGAGCGAAAGCCAGGGGAGCAAACGGG